CGGACGGGUGAGUAAAGCCUAGGAAUCUGCCUGGUAGUGGGGGACAACGACUCGAAAGGGUCGCUAAUACCGCAUACGUCCUACGGGAGAAAGUGGGGGAUCUUCGGACCUCACGCUAUCAGAUGAGCCUAGGUCGGAUUAGCUAGUAGGUGAGGUAAUGGCUCACCUAGGCGACGAUCCGUAACUGGUCUGAGAGGAUGAUCAGUCACACUGGAACUGAGACACGGUCCAG
rnacentral:rRNA from 1 species